rnacentral:rRNA from 1 species
GGUAGUCCACGCUGUAAACGAUGAGUACUAGGUGUUGGGGUAUCGACCCCCUCAGUGCCGAAGCUAACGCGAUAAGUACUCCGCCUGGGGACUACGGCCGCAAGGCUAAAACUCAAAGGAAUUGACGGGGCCCGCACAAGCAGCGGAGCGUGUGGUUUAAUUCGACGCAACGCGAAGAACCUUACCUAGGCUUGACAUGUACGUGGUACGAGCGUGAAAGCGUGAGGACUCGCAAGAGAGCGUACACAGAUGCUGCAUGGCUGUCGUCAGCUCGUGCCGUGAGGUGUUGGGUUAAG